rnacentral:rRNA from 1 species
CAGUAGCCGCGGGAAUACGGAGGGUGCAAGCGUUACUCGGAAUUACUGGGCGUAAAGCGUGCGUAGGUGGUGGUUUAAGUCCGUUGUGAAAGCCCUGGGCUCAACCUGGGAAUUGCAGUGGAUACUGGGUCACUAGAGUGUGGUAGAGGAUAGUGGAAUUUCCGGUGUAGCAGUGAAAUGCGUAGAGAUCGGAAGGAACAUCUAUGGCGAAGGCGACUAUCUGGGCCAACACUGACACUGAGGCACGAAAGCGUGGGGAGCAAACAGGAUUAGAUACCCGAGUAGUCCCUGUCUCUUAUAC